rnacentral:rRNA from 1 species
UACAGAGGUGGCAAGCGUUGUUCGGAAUUACUGGGCGUAAAGGGCGCGUAGGCGGCCUUCUAGGUCAGACGUGAAAUCCCCAGGCUUAACUUGGGAACUGCGUCUGAUACUGGGAGGCUUGAGUGCGGGAGAGGGAUGUGGAAUUCCAGGUGUAGCGGUGAAAUGCGUAGAUAUCUGGAGGAACACCGGUGGCGAAGGCGGCAUCCUGGACCGACACUGACGCUGAGGCGCGACAGCGUGGGGAGCAAACGGG